UACGGAGGGUGCAAGCAUUAAUCGGAUUUAUUGGGCGUAAAGGGCGUGUAGACGGGCAAGUAAGUCAGAUGUGAAAUCCCGGAGCUUAACUCCGGAACUGCAUCUGAAACUGCUUGCCUUGAGGGUAGACGGGGGAAACGGAAUUCCACAUGUAGCGGUGAAAUGCGUAGAUAUGUGGAGGAACACCUGUGGCGUAGGCGGUUUCCUAGUUUAUACCUGACGUUGAGGCGCGAAAGCGAGGGGAGCAAACAGG
rnacentral:rRNA from 1 species